ACAGUAAUGCCAUAAAAUUUCAUUUAACCUAAAAUAUCUAUUCUAAAUAAAUAUAAGUGUCUAUAAGUGUGUGUAUAUAUAUAUAUAUAUAUAUAUAUAUAUAUUAUACGAUUCUCUGGAGAACAUUAUUCUGACUGCUCAGAUAUUCUGCUCAACUUGUGUUAAUCUCUCAAAUGAACUUUCCCUGUGCAUUUAUUUAUUUAGCAAAAUUAACAAAAUAAAACAAUCAGGUAAUCAGGACUCUGGCACAAAGCAGACAAUAAAAAGGAUUUAUAACCAAAUCUCUCAGUUACGUUUUUUUGUUUGGAGAACAGAAGAAGGAGAGUUUUCCAGUCUGGUGCAGAUAAAGACCAGGCUCAACAAAACCAGCCAGCAUAAAACAAAUAUAACUAAGCGACCAAGCAAUCUGAAUAUUCUGCAGUGUCGCAAUAGAGUGCAAUCCAGUUAUAGUAAAUGGAGCAUAUGUGAUGACCAACCUAUAGCAGUAGUUACUCGGAUUAAAUGAAAUGCUCUUCUCUUCAUGUGGUUUUCCUCCUCUCUCUCUCUCCCUCUCUCUCCUGGUCCUGACUGCUUCAGAGCUCCGAGAACAGCCACAAGACAAAACAACUGGAUGAAGAGAGCUCUAAGAACAGCCACAAGACAAAAGAGCUGGAUAGAGAAGAAAAGGAGGAACUGCAGUGUAAAGGACCAUGUGUGUGCAACAGUAUUGAGCGCCAUUAAAAUGAACAUGGUGUACAAACAGGAGCCAAGAGUGAGUAUCCAAACCACAAUGCAGCAGAUAACUCUAUAUCUGAGAGGUUUGUACUUCAGAAAGGUUACAGGAUGAACCACUGCCAGGUAACGCUCAACACACAUCAGACACAAAAACAGAGAACGACCAGUGAUGCCUUGCCCUUGGAUAAAAUUUGACACUAUCUUGAGAUUUGGAAACCAAAUUGCCAUUGUAUCUAAGAAACAGAAUAUACAGAUUCCAAUCUCACAAACAGACAAAUUGAGGUUGAAGAACUCUAAUGCAACUCCACUUCCUGCUCCUGUGAUGAUGAGCCAUAUAACAUAGCAGUGUGUUGGCAUACCAAACAGGAAAGUAAAGCUGCACAGAAACAAUUGUAGACUGUCUGUUAGCCCAAUGGAUUGAGUUGUGGGAUUUGCAGACGCUGCAAGUGUGAUGAAAGUCAC
ensembl:lncRNA